rnacentral:rRNA from 1 species
CAGCUCUAGGCGGUGGACCACUCGGCUCGUGCGUCGAUGAAGAGCGCAGCCAGCUGCGUGAA